UACGGAGGGUGCGAGCGUUGUCCGGAAUCAUUGGGCGUAAAGGGCGCGUAGGUGGCGGGACAAGCGUGCGGUGAAAGCCCGGGGCUCAACCCCGGGUCGGCCGUGCGAACUGUUUUGCUUGAGCACUGUAGAGGCAGGCGGAAUUCCGGGUGUAGCGGUGGAAUGCGUAGAGAUCCGGAAGAACACCGGUGGCGAAGGCGGCCUGCUGGGCAGUAGCUGACACUGAGGCGCGACAGCGUGGGGAGCAAACAGG
rnacentral:rRNA from 1 species